GGAGGCUGGGUCGCUCGGCUUCCCCUCCCUGCCUCCUCCUCUAGCCGCGGCGGCUCCCGGGCCUCGCGGGCUCGGCAGGUGCUGGGGAGCGAGAGCCCUGGCUGAGCCCGGGGGGCUCGGGAAAUCGCAUCGCCCGGGUGCGGGCGCCGGAGGAAGCCGCUGCCGCGCGCGCUCGCUCGGGCGCCGAGCGCUGCAGCCUUGGCUAAAACCCACAGACGAGAACACGGAGCGCGCAGCCAAAAGCUAGUGAUGUCAUCCGUGCAACGUGAGCCUCAUCUCUUAUUUUCCUAGCAUCCUUAAAGAUAAACUGCACCAUUUCCCAGGCAUGAAAUGUCUAAGCCUAUUCUUUGACCAGGCAAGUCAAUGGUGUCUAGAUAAGUAUGUGCCCAACCACAUCCAUAUUUAUACACGUAUACAUAUAUGUGGUAUGUAGCAUGUUUACAUGCAUUAUUAUAAAUUUAGGAAUGUUGCCUCUAUCUUCUGUUUAUCUCUUUUCAGUAGUGGCAAAUUCCCUCUAAUCGACUACAGUUAAAGAAAAAACUGCUUGUUAAGGAGCGGCCUUCAGAGGGGCUGAGGAAGUUCUCUGCGUCCCCGGUUUGGGUCGCUGGUGUCUUGGACUGUAUUGUAUCUUUGUUUUCCCCAGAAAGCCACAGGCGCUACCUUGCUAGCUACAGGCGAUUCCACGCUGCACUGAGUGCGUCCGCGGGGUUAUCAUCACCAGCCCCAGUCCAGCCCCACGCCCGCGCCAGACACCCCGACACACACCCACCUCCACCGGCCACCACCUCCCUCCUCAGCAGGAAAAGAAAGAAGAAAAGUGGUUGCUCCUUCCAAAACAAGAGGCAUUGACCUCCUGGGCUGAGCAGUCAUGGUCUAAGUAGACAACAUCCUACUCUACUCCCUGACCUGACAUCUCAAGAGUCUGGAUCCUGUGAGUCCCUGACCACCUGCUGCAUCAUCUGCUAUGAACUGAAUGUUGGUGUGCCCCUAAGUUCCUAUGUUGAAGCCCUAACCCCCAAUGUGAUAAUAUUUUAAGAUGGAGCCUUUGGAAAGGAAUUAGGUUUACAUGAG
rnacentral:lncRNA from 1 species